UACGGUAGGGGCAAGCGUUGUCCGGAAUCAUUGGGCGUAAAGCGCGUGUAGGCGGUCCGAUUAGUCGGCUGUGAAAGUCAAGGGCUCAACCCUUGAAUGCCGGUCGAUACUGUCGGACUAGAGUCCGGAAGAGGCAAGUGGAAUUCCCGGCGUAGCGGUGAAAUGACGCAGAGUAUCGGGAGGAACACCGAUGGCGAAGGCAGCUCGCUGGGACGUGACUGACGCUGAGACGCGAAAGCGUGGGGAGCAAACAGG
rnacentral:rRNA from 1 species